GGGACACGUGGUAUCCUGUCUGAAUAUGGGGGGACCAUCCUCCAAGGCUAAAUACUCCUGACUGACCGAUAGUGAACCAGUACCGUGAGGGAAAGGCGAAAAGAACCCCGGCGAGGGGAGUGAAAAAGAACCUGAAACCGUGUACGUACAAGCAGUGGGAGCACCCUUCGGGGUGUGACUGCGUACCUUUUGUAUAAUGGGUCAGCGACUUAUAUUCUGUAGCAAGGUUAACCGUAUAGGGGAGCCGGAGGGAAACCGAGUCUUAAUUGGGCGUUAAGUUGCAGGGUAUAGACCCGAAACCCGGUGAUCUAGCCAUGGGCAGGUUGAAGGUUGGGUAACACUAACUGGAGGACCGAACCGACUAAUGUUGAAAAAUUAGCGGAUGACCUGUGGCUGGGGGUGAAAGGCCAAUCAAACCGGGAGAUAGCUGGUUCUCCCCGAAAGCUAUUUAGGUAGCGCCUCGUGAAUUCAUCUCCGGGGGUAGAGCACUGUUUCGGCUAGGGGGCCAUCCCGGCUUACCAACCCGAUGCAAACUGCGAAUACCGGAGAAUGUUAUCACGGGAGACACACGGCGGGUGCUAACGUCCGUCGUGAAGAGGGAAACAACCCAGACCGCCAGCUAAGGUCCCAAAGUCAUGGUUAAGUGGGAAACGAUGUGGGAAGGCCCAGACAGCCAGGAUGUUGGCUUAGAAGCAGCCAUCAUUUAAAGAAAGCGUAAUAGCUCACUGGUCGAGUCGGCCUGCGCG
rnacentral:rRNA from 1 species